AAUACUUACCUGGACGGGGUCGACGAGGGAUCAAGAAGCCUCGUGGCCUAGAUCAGUGGCCUGCAUUGCACUUGGCUGGUGCGCUGGUCUACCAUCUCCCCAAGUGGGAGAGUGGACGUCAUAAUUUGUGGCAGAGGGGGUACGCGUUCGCGCGGCCCCUGCUUU
rnacentral:snRNA from 1 species